rnacentral:lncRNA from 1 species
GUACUAAUUUUAUAGAGCAAGAGUUGUUGUACAAAGAGUGAAGACACGAAGUAUUCACGAAGGUAGUCUUACCUAAUUCAGACGAAGGCAUUCUUACAUAUAUAUCUUGUCCAUCUUCAGAAUAGUCUCUAAUAUCAAUUAGCUUAGUAAACCAUAAGACACAUACAUGUCCACCUCUUCUAACAUCUGCAUUUGCAAAAGCUGUACAAGAACAGUUUUUGAGGCACAAUUUCUCACAUUCUUGAAGGUUCAUAUUCGUGUUAUACCAGGAGUGACGUGUGUCAGGUAACUUCACACCCGAAUAUUGCACAAAACCCUCAUCAGUCCCGCAGACAAAGAUUAUUCUGCCAUUUGUUAUAAUGUUAUUUUUUCUCGAUUUGAACUUACAUCUAAUAUCGCUCCAAUCGUUAGAAAACUUUCCGCCAUUAAAUAUUUUUAAUAUCGACAGUUUGAAACUUACUUUCAAUAAUUUCGAAACCGAAAAAGUUACUUUUAAAACUUCAUUCCAAUAUACUCAAAACGAACCGAAACUUCCUUCCAAUAAUUUCGAAACCGAAAAAAGUAAUUUUAAAAUUUUCUUCCAAUAUAUCCAAACUAAUAAGAUAAUUUUUAUUUUGGAUAUUUAUAAUUUAAAAUUUUCAUAAAAUUAGAAAAAAUAUAACAGAGAAUAUUUUUUUCCCUCAAUUUUUCCACCAUAAAAUUUGUUUUAAUGUUAUUUUUUCUCGAUUUCAAACGUACAUGUAAUAGAUCUCUUCUACUAUUUGGAAAUUUUUCACCAUAAAAUAUUUUUUAAUAUUGACCGUUUGAAAUUCUUUUCUAAUAAUUUCGAAACCGGAAAAAAUAGUGUUGGAACUUUCUUCCAAUACAUUCGAAAUUAAUUGAAACUUCUUUCUAAUAAUUUCGAAACCGAAAAAUAAUGUUGAAACUUUCUUCGAAUAUAUUCAAAACUAAUUAUAACUUCUUUCCAAUAAUUUCGAAACCUAAAGAGGUAGUUUUUAAAACUUUCUUUCAAUAUUCGAAACUAAAAAGAUAAUUUUUAUUUUUGAUAUUUUUAAUGCAAAAAUUUGAGAAAAUUUUGAAACUUCUUCCGAAUAUUGUCAAAACUAAUUGAAACUUCCUUUAAUUAAUUUCGAAACCAAAAAAGUUAUUUUAAAACUUUCUUCCGAUAUAUGAAAUGUCACAUCCCGGUCCCAAAAAAAAAAAUGCUUAUAUAAUACUUUUGAAUGUAUUAAAAUAGUUUCCGGGAUUUUUAGAUUUAACAAAAAUAUUUUGUUUUAGGAUUUAUAAGGAAUUUGCGAAUAGUAAGGUGACCCUAUAAAGGAGAAAGGACAUGAAGGGGUAAAAAUAAAAGUCUCAGAAUAAUUUUUAGAUAUUUUAUAAAUUACCAGAGCGGAGAAAUAGUGAACAGAAGUACGGUCAGAAUUGUAUGAUUUUGCACCGAACUGUGAUUAUAAAAUCCAGUUAUUAGAAAAUAGGUGAAAAUAGAAAAGACACAAAAUGAGCCAAGAAUUUUCCUAGAGUAUCUAAAUAAAUUGUGGAACUCAUUUAUGAAUUUUCGGAAAUUUUACGAAGCUCAAGGAAGUUAAAAUGAAAAGGAAUAAAGGAGCCGGAUACCCAAGAUUUCCGGACUGCAAAAUGACCUUUAAACUAAACCAGCGGAAUUUCAGAAGGAAUACUGAAGAGAAGGUUAGUACGUUUAUGAUCUUUGGAGUCUCUAGAACAUUCCUAUAUUGAGUUUGAAGAAAAAUCUCGAGAUUAAGAGUGGACAGGGAUCAGUGGAAUAAUAUCAGACCGAUACAUCCCUAAGAAAAAGUGAAAUAUUUUCGGACUCCAAAUGAGCUCAUUUUAUAGUCAAAAAUUCCCAAAUAAUAUACUAGGAAUUAUUAUAUCAUCAGAAUUCGUCAACGAGAUCAAGAAUGGGGAGAUUUAAAUUAAGAUUUUAACAGAAGUAAUUAGCUUAAAUGGAUAAUCAUCCAGAAUUCUCCCGAAUGCAUGUUGGCCAAGUCAGGAGGUGACACAUGGCAAUUACUUAAAGAUAACUAACAUUUAACUUUCUAAAACACCGCCCCAUCAUCAGCUUUCAUUUCAUUUGGUCGAAGCAAGCAGUGAAGAUAAAGAAAAAGAAAAAGAAUUCAAGAAAAAUUCAUAGAAAAAGAUUUCUAGCUCAGAUUUUCGUGUUCUAUAGCUUGUUGGAAAGAUCUCUUCAAGACCUUUAAUUCAAGAGGUAUGCUUCUUAUUUUUGUAAUCAUUAGCGUGUUCAAAAAGAUGGUUGAUUCUAGCUAUGAAUAGUGAUGUUCUUGGUGGAAGAAUUUCUUUAAAUCCUAAAAUAAGUACUAGGAGAUUAUGGUGUUAUAAUAAGCAUGUUUACAUGUUUGGAUUAUUGUUUAAGCUUGUAAAGUGGUUGUUCUUGAUUGGGUUUGGAAGGAGGAUCUGGUAUAAGUAUUAUAUGGUGAUUUGGAGGUUGUAUAAUUGUUUGGGCUGAUGAUUAACAUAAGUUUAAUUAGGGAAACGUUAAGAUUAUAGCCGUUAUCAUGGCCAAGUUGAAAUAACAGCCGCUGUUACUGUUCAUCCGAACAGUUUAGUUUCUACUUUAAGAGGUUUAUUUAUAUGGAUGGCUAGAGUUUGAUUAGUAGAUCGCGUGAGCGCUUGAAGCAUGCAAAACGGAUUUACGGUUUAGAAGUUAUGGCCAUUUUAGUACAGGACGCGCAGAAUCCUAGUUUCCGUAAGAAAAUGAACUUUGAGGUUACAAUUCGGCUAGUUCAAAGAUGAUAUAAAUCAUGGAAUAAUUUGAGUAAAUACUAGGGACAAAUUGGGAGGUAUAUGAGUUGGUUUCGUAAGAAAAACUCGAAUGAUUUAUAAGUGAGAAGUGUCAGAACCUAAAGGUGUAAAUAGUAACAAUAAUACGUGAGACGAGAAACAGUUAGUACCAAAUCUCUUUAAAAUGAAAGGAUUGAUAAUAAGACUGAUUAGAAGGGACUUUAAGGGUAGGUAACACGUACACACACUAUGAUAUAGAGUUAUAAAGGAUUUUAAUGAUUAAUUAUGUCCCUUAUAGGUGCACAGAAAGGUGCAGAAGAACUUUAAGGACCAGGAAGUUGUAACUGAGUUGCUGAAGUAAGGUGAGUAUACAUCAACACUACUUAUAUCUAUGUGAUAUGCGAAUUACGUGCUUUUAUAUGCUGAAAGUGAUAUAUUAGAAUAUUGAUUCGACUAUGUGAUUCUAUACAUGACUGGAGUUCUUUGAUGUCAAUGUAGUGUGAUGAUAUAUCAAAGUACAUGUAUAUAUGGAAUGUGUAUUGACCUGUGAUUUCACGAACGAUACAUUAACAUAGAGUCUGCAUAUAGAAUAGGUCAUAUGCACACCCUACAUUCAUUUGAUAGUGAUAAAUUAAAAAGUCAAAGUGACAGUCACUUGUGUAAUGGCCACCUUUAUAUAUGGAAAUGGAACCUACGGGUAAUUACGGAGCAGACUAUAUGUCAGCCAUAGACGGGGCCGACUUGUGUCGGACAUAGACGGAGCCGAUUUCCAUAGUCGGACAUAGACGGAGCUGGCCAGACACACAUGGAUCCUUUGAGGGUACAUGUGGAAACACGGGCAUUAUACAGUGAACUGUUCACAAUAGAAAAAGAAAAAGAAACAGAGAUGCAUGCAUGCAUAGAUACAAGCUCAUACAUUCGUUGCAUACAUGAUUAACAAAAGUAAGUGAUUUAUGAUUAACUAAAGUUGAUGUAUAUUCAUUGAGUUGCGACUCAUGGAAAUCGCUCAAUUUUCCAGGAGAUGAAUAAUUAGUAGUGUGUUUUGUAUGAGUGCUCAGUGGAGAUUGUAGAUAGUGCCUAAGAGACGGUGGUCCAGCAGGAUGCUCCAGACUCCUCCAUCAGCCGAUGCACAUAUAUGUAGUUUGAGAGAUUGUGUUUGUGUACUCUAGACUUACUAAGUGUGCAAGAAAUCACGAAGAUAAAUUUAUGUUUAAAUUCUGAAUAUGUGUGGUGAAUAAGGAUGAUGGAAAUGUAUUGAAAUGAUAUGUUGCUUGGUAAAUGUUGUUGAAGUAGUUGAGAUUUUCUGUUCUGGUGAAGAUCAAGAUAUAGCCAAGCAAUAGCUGAUGGUUAUAUUAUCCACUUAUACAGGAUAAGAUAUUUCAUAAUAUUAUUAAAUUACAUGAUUUUGCUAGAAGUGCAUGAAAAUGAUUAUAUGGUACAAGGGUGUUACAUGAAAACUAAAAAGAUCAUUUUUAUUUUUGAUAUUUUUUAAUGUAAAAAAAAAAUCGGAAAAUUAGAAAAAUAUUAUGGAGUUCUAGAGCAACCACCUCAACGCCCCUCGUUUCUCAUUUGUAUAAGUAUAUUGAUUGUAUAUAUAUUAAAUUCUAACUGUUAACACGCUCAAUUUUUUAUUAAUUAAAGUAGGUGUACACUGCAACUUUCAAUUGAAGAUAGUUCAUUGUUAUAUUUUCAAAAUGCUCACACAUAUUAUAUUAGUCGAUGAAAUAAAUAUAACUAUAACAAAAUUUUUCUUGAAAGUUAAAAAAAUUUAAUAUAUGUAAUUUUUUUGAGGAUAGAUAUAUAAUUGAAACAGAAUCAAUAUAAUUAACUCAUCUAAAUUGCUCUCUGGUACUACUCUCUCACUUUUCCAAUAACUGAAACCCUGCAAAUAUUGAUAUUUAAAUGCUUCAUAAAUAUUUUAAUCCUAAUAUAGUAAUAUAUUUGAAAUCCUGGUAACCACCUCUAUCUUUUUAUUGUAGAUACAUCAUUCCUUGAAUAAGAUUCAUCUUGCCAAGAGAUACUUAUGCCAUCAAUUUUUACAUUUUCUCAAUGACAGCAUUACUUCCCUGCAUUUCCCUCGACGAAUAAAACACAGCACCAGCUCAAUGACAUCUCAUGAAUCUUGCUUUUCCCUAGACCAAGAGGUUUUGGAUAAAUAACAGUGUUAUCACUAUGGUCGAGGUAAGAGAGUAGUCAUUGUUAAUUCGUUGGAUGUUGACAGAUUUUGGUUGCUCAAAAAUUGGUCUGCUUCAAACAAAUCUCUCUCCAUGAAAAAACCAGGUUGCUUAGGAUGCGGCAGCUUCAUAUUACUGCUCAACAUCAGAACUACCUCUGACAUGACUGGCCUGUCCUUUGGAUCUUGUUGAACGCAAAGUAAUCCAAUUUGUAUAACUCGCAAGGCUUCAUAAUGGUUAUUGGGCUCCAAGAUCACUCCAUCAAUGAGUUCCAACAGUUUGCCUUGUUUGUAACUUAUCCAUGCCUAAAAUUUAAUUAUGCAACUUAUCAGUGGUAAGAAGCAUAUAGCAUGAGGAACGUCAUAGACACUUAGGCCCUGCUCUUGAGUUUUUUUAGGAGAGAAAGCAAGUGAAUGUAAGUGAAAGUUUGCAUCCCACUUUUGGAGUGAAAGUUUUGGAGUGAAAUUAUAUUAUAAUUGCAUCCAUUUUCACUUGUUUUCGUCCCUUUAAAAAACUCGGGAGCACAAACAUGAGUGAAAGUUAUAUAACUUUACUUCCUCCUCACUUGCUUUCCUCCCUCUUUAUAACUCGGGAGCAGGGCCUUAGUAUAUUUAUACUCACAUGCCCAAGUAGGUUAAAGCUGUGAUCAGGAUGAUUGAAUAAUCUGUUUUUCAUUCCACUUGCUAUCUCUACUAGCAAAACGCCAAAGCUGUAGACAUCGGAUUUAACAGAAAAUUGUCCAUCAAUAGCAUACUCCGGGGACAUGUAACCACUGCGAGAUGAGAAAAUGGAUAUUAAUUAUAAGUUGUCAAUUGUCAUGCAAAGAAAAAAUUUAAGUGCAAAGUCAUAGGAAUUCUUACUAUGUACCGACAACUCUUAACGUUUUUGCUUCACUUUCAUUUCCUCCGAAACUUCUUGCCAUGCCAAAGUCUGAAAUCUUUGGAUUCAUAUCAUGAUCAAGUAAUAUGUUACUGGCUUUGAGAUCUCUGUGUAUGAUCCUCAGCUUUGAAUCUUGAUGAAGAUAAAGAAGUCCCCUAGCAAUGCCAAUUAUUAUGUUGUAUAGCCUCGGCCAGUCCAUUGUGUUUCUGACGUUACUAUCUAUUCAUGUCAUCAAAUUAGACCAGUUCUCUAUAUAUGGGGACAUACAUGACAAAUCUCAGACAAUUAACAUAAUAUAUAUCCAGGUUGGGUCAUACCAAAAAUGAAUGAAUCUAGACUUUUGUUAGCCAGAUAUUCGUAGAUCAAAAUCCUUUCUCCUUUCUCCGUGCAGCAACCAAGAAGCGUCACUAGAUUUCUGUGUUGAAGUUUGGCAAUACAUGAAACUUCAUUUUUAAACUCAUCUAGUCCUUGACUUGAGUUUCUUGAAAGCCUUUUCACUGCUAUUUCUUGUCCAUCAGUCAAUAUACCCUGAAAAUAGGUUGUAAUGUGUUAUAUAUUUGAAUUGACUCGGUAUAGAUUUAAGAACCCAAUUAUUUGUAUUUCCCUUCCACAGAGCACUUAACAUCUAUAUCUCAUUACCAUUUUAAUUCUAAUAUAGACAAGACGAAUAAUUCUAUGUGUUACACAUGGUAAAAUACACGUUUAUUAGGUAAAUGUAUAUAUGAAUUCGUUUUGUUAUAUGUGGUACAGACACUUCUAUUGUUGCAGAUAAACUUUUCCUACAGUAUAGUGAGACAAUGUUAGCUUGGUGCAAAAAUUGUCUACAUAUAAUCACCUUGUAUACAGGUCCAAAGCCACCCUCUCCGAGUAUCAUAUCUCGUGAGAAGUCACUUGUGGCAUUUGCAAUGCUUUGGAAGUCAAAUAAUGGCAACUCCAGAUCUUCAUUCUCAAUUUUGGUCAAGGCAACACUUUCCAAAUUCAAUUUCAAUUUUUCUGCAGUGAUUCAAUAUGGAACAGAGGGGGAUUAUGAGGUCAUGAUUAAUUUUGCUGAUAAUAAUUGUGAAGGAUCAGCCAUCUAUGAUUUAUAUAAUAUUAUUCACACAGAGAUAUAAUUUAUGUAGAUACUACUUAGUAUAUCUUCCUUCCUUGAGUAACAGUUACUGUAACAGACUAACAGAGACUAGUUUACCUUCUUUCUGCAGCUUUCUCUUCUUGCAUGCUACAAGGAAUAUUCGGCCAAGUAGCACUACUACUAGUACUGAAGCAAUGAGAAUGAACUCUAAUUUCCACUUUACUCUGGAGCUUCGGCUUUUUACUGUGUGAAACAAAUUACACAAAUAUAUUAAACUUACAAAAGAACUGUAAAAAGCAAAGAGUUGUUGGAGUAAAAAGGGGAGGACACAAAAUAUUCGUGAAGGUUGUCUUACCUAAUUCAGACGAUGGCAUUCUUACGUAGAUAUCUUCCCCUUCUACUGUGUAGUCUCUAAUAUCAAUUAGGUCAGAAAACCAUAAGAUACAUCCAUGUCCACCUCUUCUGACAUCUGCAAUUGCAUAAGCUGUACAAGAACAGUUUUUCCGGCAUGAUAUCUCACAUUCUUGAAGGUUCAUUUUCAUGUUAUACCAUGAGUGACGUGUGUCUGGUAACUUCACACCAGAAUAUUUCAUAAAGCCUUCGUCGUUCCCACAAACUAGAUCAGUUUUGCGGAUGCAUCCACCAGACCAAUCAGCUGCUUUCCACUCCUCUUGAAAUUUCGGAAUAAAUCCUCUCAAGCAUUCACAUCUUGGUGUAUUGUUGAUCUUGCAUAUUCCAUAUACACCGCAUAGUCCAUAAUGAUCACAGUCACUGUCCUGCAUAGUAAGGUAAACCAUCCAGAUUUGUUGCUGAUCAUUCCACACAAGAAGUUUUGAAUCUCCGCUUGGAGUCAGUAUGAACCUCAUUAUAGCAGAAGUUGUAUUGAUGAGAUGAAACCUAUAAUAGAUUUCCUUUUCAUUGAAAACAAACACAUCUUUAAAAAUUCCAUUCUGGUUCUUGUUGGGAAGACCACCAAAUUUAUAACCAUUCCAUAGUCCCGUCCUCGUCCAAAUUAACGAAUCUUUUGACACAAAAUAUUGUGGAAAACCAUUAGGAUCAAGUCCAUGUGAAAAACUGCCAACUGAUGGAUCAACGUCACUUCUCCAUGAUGAAAAGAUCCUGUUCAGACCAGUUACCAGGUCUAUCCCAUGUUUCAUGCCAGGUAGCAAAUUGUCUCCGGGGUGAUCAAAGCUCUGCCAUUUAAAAUCUUCUACGCUGUUGAAAUCAGGAUGCCCUUCCCUUAAAACUAAAUUCCCUGUAUCUAAUAGCUGUGCAACAGGAUUCUUCAUUGAUACAGACGUAUUCGAUGACCAUAUUACCCCAGUACUAUUAUCAACCAAUUGCAAUGUAAUUCCCUUGCGAUUGACCUGCACUAAGCCUGAGGUGUUCAUGAGAGGAACAUCUCUAUUAGCAACCCAAACAACAGUCCCUCUGGAUAUUUUCCUGUACCAGAUGCCCAGAUAUCGAUUCGUCGAACUACCUGGGCUGAAAAAUCCAAGUUCAAACUCUCCACCUGCUGAUGUGAUAGUAUCACCAUCUCGAAAACUCUGAUGCAUUCUGAUGGUAUCAACUGCCACGGACCUUGUUAUGGUACAGAUUAAAAUGUAGCAAGCCAAAAUAAUAGUAUUCAACUCCAUUAUCUUGCAAAAUGAAUGUAGUUUGCAUAAUUUAACCACAAUCCAGGUGAACCAAAUACUAUAUAGUACCAACAAUUUUAGUCCUAUCAUUAUAGCCACUUGGAUACCUUAAAUACCUAUCCUAAAAAAUAAAAAAAUACAGGGGCCGGUUGGGUGAGCUUAAGUGCUUUCUGCUUAAAGUAAAAAAAUUGAAGUAUAAGUUAGAAACAAGUUAAGACUUAUAAGUGAUUAAAAUGUUUAGAAAAGAAGUAAAAGCCAUGAAACAAAAGCUAGUGGGCCGUUUAAGUUAGCUUAAAAGAAGUGACUUCUUACUUAAACUAAAGAAGUGAAGUAGAAGUUAGAAGUAAAUAAGUUAAUAAAGUGUUUAGAAAAGAAGUAGAAGUUGUGAGAGAAAAGCUAGCAUUCUCAGCUUCUUAAAAGUGAUUCUUAUAAAAGCCUCAGUAUUCUCGACUUCUUAUAAGUACUUCUAACUUAUAAACCUAGAAGCCGGGUUUUGCCCGUCCAAACACCCAAGCUUGACUUUGAUUAUAAAAGUCGGUUAGCACCUUAAAUCUGAAAAGUUUAGUCUUUGAUUCGUUGUGAUUGUAUUAUUGGUUUCAGACUUUAACAUAAACCUAUUCGUCGUAGUCAGAAGUCAGAGGCUAGGAGGUGCAUCUGUCGGGUCUGAUAUAUAAAUAUUACUAUAUUUGAAUAUGAAAUUAGUGGUUAAAAGCUUGAUUGUGAGUUAAGAAUCUAAGCACCUGAUCACUGGCGGCGUCUCUCAGCUGCCACUGACAUGAAGCCAAAUGCUCAAUUCUUAAUUCCCAGGUCGCAGGUUGCUGUGCAAACUAUAAAUAGUUAAAUACUCUUGGCAUGUAUUGAUAUUUCUGGAUGAUGAAAUAUGGCCGCAUAUUCUACCAGUUCAUGACCCUGCAGGCUGCAGGGCACGGCUGACUUAGAGCAUCUCCAUCCAUCUAAAGCCCUUGGCUAAAAGGUGAGUUGGCUUACUUAAAAUAAAAAAAUUUAGCCAACAGCUCCAAAAACUCAACUCCAACCAUACUCACCUGUUGUCUAUAAAUUUAGCCAUGGAUGGCUAAAUUUGUCGAACCUCUACAGGUCUGUAAGAAAAUCUGUAGAAAGAUUGUACAUCAUUUAUUACCAUAUUGAACUGAUAUAUUCUAUUUUAACAAUUUAAAAUAUUAAUAACAUACUAUUUUUAAAUUAUAGCCAACCAAUAUAGCCAGUACCAUUGAAGCAAAAUGUCUUACAGGUUCAGCAAAUUUUACAUAAUGUCUUACAGCUUCAAUUUAGCCAACGAUUAUAGCCAACGCCGUUGGAGAUGCUCUUAUAUAACAUUUGUAAUUUUAUCAUCUAUAUUUUAAAUUUAAAUAUUUUGGUUAAUUAAUGAUAAAAAAAUUUCAUUAUAACACUUAUAUCAAAAGACCCGUAGAAUAAUAUUGAUCGGUUCAUAAAAUUCGACCGAUCAAUAAAAUUAUUAAUAUUUAAUUUUAAUAAAAUAAUAAUAAUAUUAUAUAGUAUAAUAUAAAUAGAUAGUAUAAAUAUAUGAUAUUACUUUUAAAGUGAUAACAUAGAAUAAUUAAGAAUAACAUUAAUAUAUUUAAUUUUAACAUAUCAUAUGUUAUAUAUUAAUAAUUAUAUAUAAUAAUAAUAUCAUCGGUUUUUUAGUUAGGAAUUACAAAAUAUAAAUCAUUUUAGUUAAAAAAGAUUUUUUUUCUGUCGGUAAUUAAAAAGGAUAAUUGAUUAUAUAAGUAGUCCAUAAUUCGGCCCAAGUACCGACAGACCCAUCAACUUUUAAUGUUCGGCUUUAAUCGUAUAGCUAUUAACCUCGGUUUAGGAAAAAAGAAAAUCAUAGAUUUCUGAACUAUUAACAUUUUAUUGUCUAGACCCUGAACUAAAAAUUCGAUUCUUUGUGUUACUUACCUUUUUGUUUUCUAAUCUAAGUUCUUCCGUUAAAAAGAUUCUAACGACAUUAUAAUCAUAAAGCUAUGGUUCUUGAUGUUCAUACAGAUCAAAGCAAUUUUAAAGGUAUUUGUGAUAUCCAAACUUAAAGUUCAGGUAAUCAAAUUAAAAUCUGAAUCGCCACAGUUAUAUGACACCAAUUUUCACAAACAAAGUUUAAUUUAGUAAAUCAUAAAUUUAGGUUCUUAAAUUCGAUCAAGAAUCCUAAAUUUAUAGUUCAUUUUAGGAUUUUUUUUUUGAAUUAAACCUUCAAAUUUUGUGACGUGAGCUGCUAUAGUAAUUUUGUCCCUUGUUGGCUUUAAAAUUGGGUGGGAAACCAUAAAUCUUGUAGCAUCUAUUAAUACUGUAAUCAAGAAAUUUACAAUGUGUGCAAUAAAAGUGUGAGCUUGCUUUUUAGUUCUUUUGUUGACAGCAUUUGAGAAAGCUUUGGGCUUGAAAUUGUUGGACAUGUUCUGAUAUGUAUUGGUUUUCCUCUAGUUCUUCUGUUGUCGUUAUAUUUCUUCUUACCUGUCAAGAAAGCUAUAGAUUCACUUUCAUAUUGUCAAAAAUUCCUCGUGUCUUUCUUCAUGAACAAAAAGCCGAUGAGCUUAAGAAACACUUGAUAAAAGACUCAUCAUAAAAAUGUUCCUCCUUACUGGAGCAAACUAAUCAUUAAGCUUCAGCAUGAAAAUGUUCUUUUACUGAAAAUGUUGUCUCUGUUGAAUUUUGAUAGACAACUUACAAGCUAUGUUACCUGACUCUUCAUUUUUCUUCGAAUAUCCGUGUCAGACACUCGACACUCCAUUUUUCUUCGAAUAUCUGUGUUGGACCCUCGACGCUCGGGCAAUGGUAUGGACACCGCGACAAUUAUUUUAGGCCAGAAACAUGUAAAAUUUUCAAAAUAUUGCCGAGUCCAUCACUCGCAUAUAUCCAUGUACAACUUAAGCCGUGUCCGGAUAAUAUAGGUUACAAGUGCACUUGUUGCACGUACCGUAUGGUAAUGGAUUUGUGCCAGCAAGACUAUCCCAGAUAGUCAGAAACAGUUAGAUUUCCUUGAAUUAACUCUGAAAGUCGUUUCUGUAAAUCAACUCAUCUUAUUAAAUGAGAGAGAUUGCAACUUGAGUGAAUGAGUACAUGAAUGAAUGAAUACGAGAGAGAGAGAGUUGAGCCUAUUAUAUACAGAGUAGCUAGUAACAGAAAGAUGGCGGUAAAGUUAGUUAGUCUAACUAACUGUACAGCUGUCAUUGCAGACCAGUAAAAUUGCAUUAUAAAAAUAGAUCAAUGUAGGUAAAAUGAUUGAUUAUUCUCGAGGUAGGAGAGUGGUGAUCGUUAAUUGGUUGGAUGAUGACGGAUUUAGGUGGCUUAAAUAUCUUUCCGUGAAAAAACCAGGUUGCUUAGGACGAGGCAGUUUCAUAUCACUGCUUAUCAUUAGAACCACCUGUGACAUGACUGGCCUGUCCUUCGGAUCUUGUUGAACGCAGAGUAAUCCAAUCUGUACAACUCGAAAGACUUCAAAAUGGUUGCUGUGCUCCAAGAUCGUCCUGUCAAUGACUUCCAACAAUUUGUCGUGUUUGUAACUCAUCCAUGCCUAAAAUAUUUUAUGUGAAAUAUCAGUAAAAGACGAGCAUAGAUCACAGGGAAGGUCAUAAUAUAUUCGUACUCACAUGCCCUAGAAGGUUGAAGCUGUGAUCAGGAUGACUGAAUGAUCUGUUUUGCACUCCACUUAUUAUCUCUAUUAGUAAAACUCCAAAACUAUAUACAUCAGAUUUAACAGAAAAUUUUCCAUCAAUAGCGUACUCUGGGGACAUGUAACCACUGCGAGAUAAAAAGAAGUUCUAAUUAAUUAUCAAUUGUGAUCCAAAGAAAACAGUAAAUUGCAGAGUCCUCGUAUACUUACUAUGUCCCAAUGACUCUCGAUGUAUUUGCUUCACUUUCAUUUCCUACAAAAGUUCUUGCAAUGCCAAAGUCUGAAAUCUUUGGAUUCAUAUCAUGAUCAAGUAAAAUGUUACUGGCUUUGAGAUCUCUAUGUAUGAUCCUUAGCUUUGAAUCCUGGUGAAGAUACAGAAGUCCCCGAGCAAUGCCAUUUAUUAUGUUGUAUAGCUUCGGCCAGUCCAAAGUGGUUCUCACGUUAUUAUCUGUUCAUUUUUCAUCAAAUUAGACAGCUUGUCUGUAUAAGAAGACACAAUUGAUAAAUUUCAGAAAAAAAAACUUGACAUAUUCACAGGUUGGAUCAUACCAAAAAUGAAUGAAUCUAGACUUUUGUUUGCCAUAUAUUCGUAGAUCAAUAUCCUUUCAUCUUUCUCUGUGCAGCAACCAAGAAGCGUCACCAGAUUUCUGUGCUGAAGUUUGGCAAUACACGAAACCUCAUUUUUGAACUCAUCUAGUCCUUGACUUGAAUUUCUUGAAAGCCUUUUCACGGCUAUUUCUAGUCCAUCAGUCAGCAUGCCCUGAAAAUAAUAGUUGUGAGGCCAUAUAUCUAGCUAUAUUAUAAUGUUAUCAUUUUCUUAUACUUCCAGAGGGACUCACUGGUAAAUCUGAAUUCCCCCAAGAAAGUUUCUGCUCAGGGGAAUUCGACGAACACCUGAGCUCAAGGUAUUCAAGCCUCUUCUACAACCUGUAAUAUGCAACUUACACUUCCUAGGCCAACUCGUUAGAGUUUGGAUCAAAAUCCUUGGAUUAACUCAAUAUAGUUUGAACAAACUUACUCAUACAGUCAUAUGCUUCUCGGAUUUAGUAAUCUUUGUGAUUCUAUUUUAAACAGUUUAAAUAGCUUGUCUGUUACACAUGGUACUGGCACUACACUUAGAUGUAUAUAUGACAUUAAUUAAUUGCAUAAGUUGUUUGCAUAUAUUAAUGGACAUGUAAUACCUUGUAUACAGGUCCAAAGCCACCCUCUCCAAGUUUGUUGUCCUGGGAGAAGUUACUUGUGGCAUUUGUAAUGCUUUGGAAGUCAAAUGAUGGCAACUCCGGAUCUUCAUUCUCUAUUUUGGUCAGCGCAACAGUUUCCAAAUUCAGUUUCAAGCUUUCUGCAAUGAUUGAAGUGUAACAAAUGCACAGUGAUGAGUGCUGAAAUAGUAUCUACCAAUUUUCUGACUAUUAGUUUUCCUGUUUAAAAUUGGCUAUCAUUUAUUUUCAAAAUUCUAGGAUCUCUUUAUUAUGGUACUAUUAUAUUCACUUGGUCGAAAUUCAAAAUCUUUCUUACUAAUUUUUUGUAGUGAAUAAUUUUACCCUUUUUCUGCAGCUUUUUCUUCUUGUAUACUAGAAAGAAUAUUAGGCCAAGUAGCACUACUGCUAGUACUGCAGCAAUGAAGAUGAACUCUGGCAUCCACUUUACUCUGCGACUUAUAACUGCAUUAGUCAAAAAGAUGAAACUUAUAAAGAAUACACCAUCAAAAGCAAAUAGUUAUGGUACUAAUUUUAUAGAGCAAAGAGUUGUGGUGCAAGAAGUGAAGACACGAAAUAUUCACGAAGCUAGAGUUACCUAAUUCAGAUGAUGGCAUUCUGACAUAUAUAUCCUGUCCAUCUUCAGUAAAAUCUCUAAUAUCAAUUAGGUCAUUAAACCAUAAGAUACAUCCAUGUCCACCUCUUCUGAACUCUGCAAUUGCAUAAGCUGUACAAGAACAGUUUUUCCAGCACACCAUCUCACAUUCCUGAAGGUUCAUUUUCGAGUCAUACCAAGAGUGGCGAGUGUCUGGUAACUUCAAUCCUGAAUAUUUCACAAAACCCUCAUCACUCCCACAAACUAGAUCAGUUUUGCGGAUGCAUCCACUAGACCAAUCGGCUGCCUUCCACUUCUCUGGGAAUUUUGGAACAAAUCCUCUCAAGCAUUCACAUCUUGGUGUACUGUUGAUCUUACAUACUCCAUAUACACCACAUAGUCCAUAACGAUCACAGUCACUGUCCUGCAUACUAAGGUAAACCAUCCAGAUUUUUUGUGGAUCAUUCCACACAAGAAGUUUUGCAUCUCCAGUUGGGGUCAGUACGAACCUCAUAAUAGCAGAAGUUGUAUUUGUAUUGAUGAGAUGAAACUUAUAAUAGAUUUCUUUUUCAUUGAAAACAAACACAUCUUUAAAAAUUCCAUUCGGGUUCCUGUUGGGAAGACCACUAAAUUUGUGACCAUUCCAUGGUCCAAUCCUUGUCCAAAUCAUUGAAUCCUUUAACACAAAAAAUUGUGGAAAGCCAUUUGGAUCAAGUCCACUAGUGAAAUUGCCUAGGGAUGGAUCAACUACACUUGUCCAUGAUGAAAAAAUCCAGUUCAGACCAGUUACCAGGUCUAUUCCAUGCUUCAUGCCAGGUAGAAAAUUGUCUCCAGGGUGAUCAAAGCUCUGCCAUAUAAAAUCUUUUACGCCAUUGAAACUGAGAUGCCCUUCCCUUAAAACUAAAUUCCCUGUAUCUAAUAGCUGUGCAACAGGAUUCCUCAUUGAUACAGACGUAUUCGAUGACCAUAUUAUCCCAGUACUAUUAUCAACCAACUGCAAUGAAAUUCCCUUGUGAUUGACCUGCACUAAUCCUGAGGUAUUCAUAAGAGGAUUAUCUCUAUUAGCAACCCAAACAACAGUCCCUCUGGAUAUUUUCCUGUACCAGAUGCCCAGAUAUCGAUUCGUUGAACUUCCUGGACUGAAAAAUCCAAGUUCAAACUCUCCACCUGCUGAUGUGAUAGUAUCACCAUCUCGAAACGUCUGAUGCAUUCUAAUGAUGUCUACAGCCAUGGAGUUCACUAAGGUAGAGGAUAAAAUGAAGCAAACCAAAAUGGUGGAAGUCAACUCCAUUAUCUUGCACUCUUCUAACUUGCAAAAUGCCAAAAUCUAUUUCUAGUAAUGCAUAACCUGACCCCAACCAAGGAAAAACAAAUUUGUUAGUUAAAAAAUAACAUUUUUGCCUCUGUCAAACUUAUAGCAACUUGGAUUAAAAUAAAAACUAUACUAUUAUCAGUAAUUGAAAGUUGAGUCUCUGAUUAUAAUAAUCAGUUAGCACUUGGAUCUGAUUUGUAGAUUUUAAUAAAAACGAAUUGUGCCGUACUCAGAUGUCAGUUCUUGACCUGUUCACUCUGAUAUAGGAAUAUGAUAUUAGUGAUUAAAUCUUGACUUUGAUCAGAAGAGUUGAGAAUCUAAGCACCUUGUCACUAGCGGCGACCUGGUCUCUCAGCAGCCAUUUACAUGAAGCUAAAUGUUCCAUUUUAAGUUCCAAGGUCAAAGGAUGCUAUGCAAACUCAAUAGACUUAUGACAUGGUAUUGAUCUGUUUUGAAUAAUGAAAUAUAAAGCCCUUUUGGAUAAAUACUAAUGACGUGCUAGUUUCCGGCAAGUACACAGACUAGUUCGUAAUUUAUGGAAACUUCAGGAGUUCAGGGUUUGUUUAUGUUUUUUGAAAACAUAAGAGACUGGUUUAACAUGUUCAGAAAGUUGAAGGGACCCAACUUUAAGUUUCCAUCAGAUAUAAAGAAAGAUAUUAGGGUACCUUCUUCCUUUACUAAUUAAAUUAUUUGACUACUUACACGUAAAAUAAUUUGCAUCUUGUCUAGUAGGAUUUGGGUGCUGGGAUUCUGCGUACAAGAAAGUGAGAAAGUGAAAGACAAAAUGAUUGAAUCAAUUUCUUCAAAUACAAUAUGUGUGACAGCCCGAGAAUCCGGGGGUCUGGAUUCUGACGUCACCACACAAAAUCAUUCUAAAACACUUUUGAAAACCUGUAUUUUUGAAAAAGGUAAUAAAAUCAAAGGAUUUAAAACCUGAAAACUUUAGUAAAAGAUUUAAAAGAAAACACUUUAACCCCCUAAAAACAGGAUCGCAUCCAGGUUACAGUAUUGAAAUUAGAAUCAACCACUAUCAAUUAACAAUGUCUUACAAUCUCAGAUCAUCUUCGAUGAGAAGAAUCACUGCCAAUCUAUUCAAAUUAUGAUUACAUCUGAAUCUCAAUAACACAACUCUAUCUAGAACCAACCUUGACAAUCUCCCUGGACAUUCCACUUGUCCUCUGGAUAUUCUAUAACUCUGACUCCUCGCUUAGCCUUAGCCAUACUCGCAACCUCAAUCAAGCAAUUCAUCUCUAAGCUUUUCUGAAAUGGUUAAAAAGGAAUAGCAAGGGUGAGCAACAAUGCUCAGCAAGUGUAUAUAAGCAACAAUAGUCCUGAAAUAUCUUAUCAGGGUUCACAAGUUCAGGAUAUGUAAUUGAAAACUUCACAACUCUUAUCAGCAAUUGAAAUCAGAAUUCAAACUUACAGAAGAAUUGUCGAAUUGGAUUCAUCACAUUUUUACUUAAAAACCAAAGGUUAGGCUGCUGAUCAGUCACGCACUAACCCCGAACAUGGCACACAGCCCUGCUCUCUAUACUGGAUCCAAGGCACACAUUGGCCUAUAAUUGACCACGAAUCUGGUCUGACCACGAAUCUGGUCCACAUAUUUUAUAAAAACUAAUCCAAUUCUAACAAUUUAAAUCAAUAGACAAUUCAAUCAACAGAACAGAAUCAUAAUCAUUAUCAACAACAGAAAUAUUCCAAAUCAACUUUUGGGAAUCAACAUUUCAUAAACCACAGUCUGUCUUUUGAUAAAUCAUAGUUCAGGAAAUUCCUAACUAUUCAGUAUCCUCCAUUAUCGGCUAAGCAACUGAAUUUAGCCUGCUAAACCAGCAUGACAAUGGCGGGUUGAAUAAUCAAGAAGAUCCCUAUUCAUUCUAAGUUCUAACUAUCACNNNNNNNNNNNNNNNNNNNNUAGACAAUUCAAUCAGCAGAACAGAAUCAUAAUCUUUAUCAACAACAGAAAUAUUCCAAAUCAACUUUUGAGGAUCAACAUUUCAUAAACCACAGUCUGUCUUUUGAUAAAUCAUAGUUCAGGAAAUUCCUAACUAUUCAGUAUCCUCCAGUAUCGGCUAAGCAACUGAAUUUAGCCUGCUAAACCAGCAUGACAAUGGCGGGUUGAAUAAUCAAGAAGAUCCCAUUUCAUUCUAGGCUCUAACUAUCACUGAGCAACACAUGCUUCAAUGACGGUCUGAACUUCGAAUUAAUUUGUAGAACUGGUAUUUUUAAAAUCUUGAGGAUUGGAAAGAAUGGAUCAAAAUAGAAAGUUGAGAGUAAUUAGGUGUUUGGCUUUUCAAAACUUGGAAGAAGAAAACAAUCAUGGGAUUCAUUCUCAGAAGUAAGAGUUUGUUUGAGAAGGGUCUCAGCAUAAACAAUAUCAUAAUCUUGACAGAAUAAUCAGAACAUGCAAUAUAUAUAUGAGGAAGGAUUUAGGAAUACUUGCCUUAAAUCCGCUUCCACACACAUAGCUUAAUCUCAUCUUUCCACUUUCACACUCUAUGCAUAUCAUAGUCUCUAGACCAUCUUUGGCUAUACUCUAUUCGCCACACUGCUUCGUUUACUCGAUUCGUUCCUUAUUCGCUUUGUAACAUCGUUUGACCUUCUGAACGUCUUCGAUCGUAUCCGUCUCGUCCAAACCCUUUACGAGAAUAAGAUACUACCAUUAUCACUAAAUAAUCUAUUGAUUCUUAUCUCUACUUAUCAACUCGGUAGCAUAACCUAUCGCAUACACAUAUCACGUAUAUCGAUACCCACUUAUAUAACUCUUUAAACUCAUCAAAUAUCACUUAACACAUAAUCAUGCUUUGACUCUACCAUAUAGUCUAAUCAUAUUUCACAUAACAUAUUAUCAAUUAAAUAUCAUAUAAAUCUUAUCGAAAAUCCGACAUCGUCUCGUCUAUUUAUUAGACUAUCCACCUGUUAUCCUAUCUCAAUCAACAAUCAAUCAACCAAAUCCAAUCACUAUAAUCCAUAUGCUUUUAUCCGACAUAUAUCAAGACACGACACUAUGUCAUUUAAUCAUUUAUCACAUGUAUGUAAUACUAGGACAACCAGAUAGUCCAUGCAAUCAUCAAUUAAUAGCAAUUAGAUCACAUAUAAUCAUAUUCUAUACAUUUAACAACAAUUAUUCACAUUCUAUACUCCACCAUCUUAUUAUGUCACAUUAAAAUAGACUUUAUAAGCUUUAAUCUCUUUUUCGUUUCACUCUAUUCUGAAUUACGAGUCAAAAGUUAUGAGCAAGACCGUUUUCUAACUCUCCUAUCGGUACAUAACAUAUCAAACAGAUAGCAGACAACAUUUUUCAUAUAAGGUUUCCCAUCCCAAUUGAUAUCAAAUCAAGUCUCAGGUUAAAAAUGAUUUUUCAGGAAUUUUCUGGAAUUUCUAGACAUUUUUCGGAAUUAAAACAGGUAAAAGAAUCCAUUUUUGAAUAAAUAAUCAAGUCCGAUUGCUCAAGAUCGGGUCCAAAAUCAUUUGAAAUCAAUUAACGAGCCUCAAACAUUUUCUAGAAUUUUUAAAUCAACAGGAGCAAUUAAAUCUAAUUAAUUAAUCAAUUAAAAUCAAUUAAUAAUUAACUAAAUUAAUUAAUCAAUUAAUAUUUAAAUUAAUUGACCAAUUAAAAUAAUUAAUUACUAAUUAAAAUUAAUUAAGAAACUAAUUUAGAUUUAUUUUUGAAUAAAGAAAUAAUUAAAAACUAUUUUUGGAAUUUAAAAUAAUUAAAUAAAACAAUUUUAGAAAAUUAAAUCAAAAGGUUUAUUUUGUAAACUUUUGAAAACUUGGCCGCAGGGUCAAAACUGUAACCUUUAAAAGUUACAGGGGAGUUUUUGUAAGUAUUGAAACCUCGGUAUACACACUUCAUCAUCUUCGAAAGUAGGGGGUAUCAAACCGUAAUUUGCCACCAUCGAAACUUUGAAACUCAAUCGAGCUCUCAUCCGAGCUCUCACACUGAUUUCGAUCACAUCCCUCGACUCCCCUCCUCAAGAUAAACACAUUCAUAACAUCAAAAACCGCCCAGAUUGACAGAAUAAGAAACCCCCAAAUUUCAAUUAAAAAGCUUCAAGAACACUCAAGAACACAGCCUCAAGAAUCAAACCCAUAUUUCUAUAUGUUACGGAACUCAAAAAUCGACAUAUAAUAUAUGAAAACGAUUGGCAGGAGAUGCUCUACAACAUGGAAUCAUCAAAUCAAUCCAACAAGCUCGUUUGUAAAAAUUCACUAUUUAAAUCUUAAUAAUUCGAAUUUUGUAAAAUUAAUAUAAAAUCACCUGAUGAUUCUGCACUGAAACGGAUGAUUGUAUUAGAUUCUACACGUCGAGAGCUUCGUUUUGACUAUUUAUACGCCUCCAUCGGAUUCCAAUAACGCUUUCAAAUCCUCGUUUGAUUAUGAAGAACACGAAGAACACCCGUUCGUCUUCUCUCGGUAUUCGUGCAGAGAAACUGACGAAAUGAUUGUACGUGCGAGAUAAACUGGUAAAGGAUAUUUAUAGAAGAAGAUAAGAGAAUAUUCCUUGAAUAUGCUUUGGAAUAUUCCUUGAAUAUGCUUCACGUAUUACGAGAUAACCAGAUAAUUAUUAACUUUAAAAAUAUUAACAAAAUCGUACCGGACCAUUUACGGGGCAAACCGUACUCCGGAUUGAAAAAGUUAAAACACGAAAAAUGCUCAGAAUGUCCCAAAUAGCUUAAUGGCGAAAUUUUCCCGAACGCCCGCGGGGUUUAAAAUGCUAAAUAACUAUUUUAAUAUAAUUAAUAAUUAACCGAAAUUAAAUCCAUAAAUCGAUUAUAAAAUCACAUAGCAAUCCAAAAAUCGAUAUAAACAUAUCUAAAUAAACUAUAUUUUAUCCUGAUCAUAUAGAAAUUGAAAUAUCUCAAAUCCGAACACAUAUGAACAGUCAAUUCAAUAAACCCGAUAACACAAACCUCACAAAUUUUCAUAUAAAUAUCACAUACUAUCCAUAAAUUAUCAGGAAAAUACCCAAAUGUUCCAUAUUUUAUUCUGAGAAUAUAAAAAUUGGAAACUCGUGAUUGCAGCAUAUAUAAGCAAUCAAAAUAGAAAACUAGUUAUCAAAGAAUUUACGAAAUAUUCAUAUAAUAUUCAUAAAUAACCAUAACUGGUUACACGACCAUUACACACGUAACACUUAAUCAUGUAAUACAUAUAUUUACAUAUCAACCAUCUAACUUUUGCAUAACCCAUCUCUGUAUUUUCAGAAAUAAUAUUUGAAAUAAGUUUUGAAAGGAUAUUCAUAUAUCCAUAUAUAAAUCCAUAUAUAAAUCAUUUGAAAAUAUCUAAAUAACACAUGACUCAUUCUGAUAAUAUCAAUAAUUAAACCCACAGUUCUGGCACAUAUAAAUACCAAUUACAGAAAAUCAAUUUACACCAAAAAUUCAUGCAAUAUUCACAUUUAUUUAUUAUAACUAAUUAAACUCGCAAUUCACAUGCAACACUUAGCCAUGUAACAAUCAUACUCACAGACCAAUCUUUUAAAUCUUUAAAAUCAAUUGUAUGAAAUACAGUUUUGAAAAGACAGUCCCUGUAUCGAUAACACAAUAACCCGGGAUUUAAAUAUAAACUUUGAAAACACAUUAAACCGGAAUUAAAUAUUAAAUUUUAUUCCUUACUUUCUAAGAAACUUAUAUUCAUAACAAUAAACAAUUUUUGAAAAAAUCCGGGUCGUUCAAAUAUACGAAAUUCCAGAAGAAUAGUGCAUAAUCUGUUUAAAUCUUAUAAUUUCACAUCACAAUUAUACUUAUACUACACAGACCAUUCAUCUUAUCAGAUAAAAGUCCAUUAAAGCCAAUAAUAUUAUUCAAAAACUUAUUCUAUAUUAAUAAACUAAUUCUGAAAAUCUGGGAUGUUACAAUAUGCGCAUAGAGAAAUUUAAGGCACUUGAAACUGAUGAGUGCUCCAAUAAUGUCCUAGUGAUGUCUCUUCUUUUGAUGCCAAGAACACCGUCCCAGAUACAUCACAAUCGUUUGUGCAUGGUGGAAGAUGGUGACUUGUAAAAGUCACGAGUUAGGCUUGUUAAGACUUGGGUGUGUCUUAACAAUGGGACUAAUGCUUCGCCGGAGACACUCAUCGCCAAUUUGCUAGAGAUUUGUACGACCGAAACAUAGUAGUAAUGUUCAAAAUAUUAUAUCUGAGUCCUACUUAAUUGCCAUUCAUUCAAAAAGUUGUAAUACUAAAAAAUACAGUAACAAUUUGCUCUAAUGGAAAUACUUAAAAACACUUGAUCAUCAGUUUACAAAGUCACAAGAAUAAGGCACACUUGGAAUAUCAUUGAUCACUAGGGGACACUAUCUUUAAUUAUAUUUAUAAGUUACUUGCUAGCACAUUGUUGGACUUUCUCGUCUGAGGGACGAAGAGCAUUCCUAGGUGAUGAGUUUUCCAACUAUUGUUUUCCCAAGCUUGGAAACAGGGUAGGUAAGUUCUCACUGACGCAAGGUAGCCCAGCUACUUUAUUAAGAAGAAACCUCACAGUGAAGGCAGGGGCACACCUCCUCAAAAACCAAUUGCCCUGAACAGCUAGUCAAAGCAGGCUCUACAGUGUGACUUAGCUUCCAUGGCACCAAGAAUGCUGAUAGAAAGGGAUCUGAUCAACUGACUCCAGACUUGCCAUAUCGACACCCUCAGUCCUGGCAUAGCUGAAUUAUCACUCUGGUGAAGAUAGCAUGAUAUCAAAGUAUUAGGCAAAGGAUCAAAUUUACUUUUUAUCCCGGGAUACACCACAGGUUGGUUUUGAGAGCCGUGUGAUGAGUGACUAUCCAGCAUGAUUCGAAGGGCACUUUUAGUCUGCGUUGUUGAAUGGAAGCCCCCCUUUGAAGCAAGAAAGAAGCAGCAGUAGCAGUUACUUUCUUUAUUAGCUAACCUGAAGAGCCAAAUGAUCACACUAUUCUCGAGGUAGGAGAGUGGUGAUUGUUAAUUGGUUGGAUGAUGACAGAUUAGGGUUGCUUAAAUAUUCAUCUGAUUCAAGCAAAUAUCUCUCCAUGAAAAAACCAGGUUGCUUAGGAUCAUGCAGUUUCAUAUUACUGUUUAACAUUAGAACCACCUGUGACAUCACUGGCCGGUCCUUUGGAUUAUGUUGAACGCACAAUAAUCCUAUUUGUAUGACUCGAAAGACUUCAUGAUAGUCACGGGGCUCCAAGAUCACGCCAUUAAUGAGUGCCAACAGUUUGUCUUGUUUGUAACUCAUCCAUGCCUAAAAUUUAAUCAGGUGAAUUAUUUAUCCGUAAUAAAGUAGCAUAUAGCAUAAGGAAUGUCAUAAUAAAUAUUUACUCACAUGCCCCAGAAGGUUUAAGCUGUGAUCAGGAUGACUGAAUAAUCUGUUUUUCACUCCACUUACUAUCUCUACCAGUAAAACGCCAAAACUAUAUACAUCUGAUUUAACAGAAAAUUGUCCAUCAAUAGCAUACUCCGGGGACAUGUAACCACUGCGAGACAAAAAAUUCUAGUCAAUUAUCAGUUGUGAUGCAAAGAAAAUAGUAAAUUGCAGAGUGCUAAAAGUUCUUACUAUGUCCCAACAACCCUUGAUGUAUUAGCUUCAGUUUCAUUGCCUCCAAAACUUCUUGCCAUGCCAAAGUCUGAAAUCUUUGGAUUCAUAUCAUGAUCAAGUAAUAUGUUACUGGCUUUGAGAUCUCUAUGUAUGAUCCUUAGCUUUGAAUCUUGGUGAAGAUACAGAAGUCCUCUAGCAAUGCCAUUUAUUAUGUUGUAUAGCUUCGGCCAGUCCAGAGCGUUUCUGACGUUAUUAUCUAUUCAUUUGUCAUCAGAUUAGACUUCCAAAGUGUAUAAAUGACAAAAUUGAUGAAUUUCAGAACAAAAAUAUGACAUAUUCUCACAGGUUGGGCCAUACCAAAAAUGAAUGAAUCUAGACUUUUGUUGGCCAUAUAUUCGUAUAUCAAUAUCCUUUCUCCUUUCUCUGUGCAGCAACCAAGAAGUGUCACCAGAUUUCUGUGCUGAAGUUUGGCAAUACAUGAAACUUCAUUUUUAAACUCAUCUAGUCCUUGACUUGAGUUUCUUGAAAGCCUUUUCACCGCUAUUUCUAGUCCAUCAGUCAGCUUGCCCUGAAAGUCACGGUUGUCUUGCUUUAUGUUUAAUUUUUAUGCUAUAAUUUCUUACACUUCCAAAGAGUCUCAUUGGUAAAUCUGAGUACCCCUGAGAAAGUUCUUGCUCAUGGGAAAUCAAAGAUCCCCUGAGCUCAAGGUAUUCAAGCCUGUAUAAUCAGUAAUAUGCAAUUUACACCUACUAGGCCAAUUCCUUGGAGAUUGGUACAAUAUCUUUGAAUAUAAAAUCAAACUCAUACAGUCAUAUGCUUCAUGUAUUCAGUAAUCUGUUUGAUUCUAUUUUAACAGUUUAAUAGCUUAUCUGUCACACAUGAUACUGGCACUGUAGUUAGCUACAUGUAUAUUUACGUUGUGUUGUGCUUUCAGUUGUGACAAACAUUGCUUUAUUGCGUAUAUUUAUGGACAUGUACUGUAUUUCACCUUGUAUACAGGUCCAAAGCCACCCUCUCCAAGUAUGUUGUCUGGGCAGAAGUUACUCGUGGCAUUUGCAAUGCUUCUGAAGUCAAAUAAUGGCAACUCCAGAUCUUCAUUCUCAAUUUUUGUCAAGGCAACACUUUCCAAAUUCAGUUUGAAGCUUUCUGCAAUGAUUGAAGGACAACAAAUGCACAUUGAUGUAGUUCUGAAAUAGUUUCUACCAAAUUUCUGAUUAUUCCCCAGAUGCUAGGAUCCCUUUAUUAUGGUACUAGCAAAUUUACUCAGUCGGAAUUCAAAAUCUUCCUUUCCAAUUAAUAGUAGUGAAUAAUUUACCUUCUUUCUGCAUCUUUUUCUUCUUGUAUAUUAGAAGAAAUAUUCCUCCAAGUAGUACUACUGCUAGUAUGGCUAAAAUGAGGAUGAACUCUAGCAUCCACUCUGCUCUGCGACUCUUUACUGCAUUAGUCAAAAUAUUUAACUUAUAAAGAAUACACCAUCAAUAAGCAAAUAGCUGAGGCACUAAUUUUAUAGAGCAAGAGUCGUUGUACAAAGAGUGAAGACACGAAGCCAGUCUUACCUAAUUCAGACGAUGGCAUUCUUACAUAUAUAUCUUGUCCAUCUUCAGAGUAGUCUCUAAUAUCAAUUAGCUCAGUAAACCAUAACACACAUACAUGUCCACCUCUUCUAACAUCUGCAUUUGCAAAAGCUGUACACGAACAGUUUUUCAGGCACAAUUUCUCACAUUCUUGAAGGUUCAUAUUCGUGUUAUACCAAGAAUGACGUGUAUCAGGUAACUUCACACCCGAAUAUUUCACAAAACCCUCAUCAGUCCCACAGACAAGAUUAGUUCUGCGGAUGCAUCCACUAGACCAAUCUGCCGCCUUCCACUUCUCCUGGAAUUUCGG